rnacentral:rRNA from 1 species
GACGAACGCUGGCGGCGUGCUUAACACAUGCAAGUCGAACGGAAAGGCUCCAGCUUGCUGGAGUACUCGAGUGGCGAACGGGUGAGUAACACGUGGGUAAUCUGCCCUGCACUCUGGGAUAAGCCUGGGAAACUGGGUCUAAUACUGGAUAUGACCUUUCUCCUUAUGGGGUUUGGUGGAAAGUUUUUCGGUGUAGGAUGAGCCCGCGGCCUAUCAGCUUGUUGGUGGGGUGAUGGCCUACCAAGGCGACGACGGGUAGCCGGCCUGAGAGGGUGAUCGGCCACAUUGGGACUGAGAUACGGCCCAGACUCCUACGGGAGGCAGCAGUGGGGAAUAUUGCACAAUGGGCGGAAGCCUGAUGCAGCGACGCCGCGUGAGGGAUGACGGCCUUCGGGUUGUAAACCUCUUUCAGCAGGGACGAAGCGUAAGUGACGGUACCUGCAGAAGAAGCACCGGCUAACUAGGUG